rnacentral:rRNA from 1 species
AGUGAACGCUGGCGGUAGGCCUAACACAUGCAAGUCGAACGGCAGCACAGUAAGAGCUUGCUCUUACGGGUGGCGAGUGGCGGACGGGUGAGGAAUACAUCGGAAUCUACUUUUUCGUGGGGGAUAACGUAGGGACACUUACGCUAAUACCGCAUACGACCUACGGGUGAAAGCAGGGGAUCUUCGGACCUUGCGCGAUUGAAUGAGCCGAUGUCGGAUUAGCUAGUUGGCGGGGUAAAGGCCCACCAAGGCGACGAUCCGUAGCUGGUCUGAGAGGAUGAUCAGCCACACUGGAACUGAGACACGGUCCAGACUCCUACGGGAGGCAGCAGUAGGGAAUAUUGGACAAUGGGCGCAAGCCUGAUCCAGCCAUACCGCGUGGGUGAAGAAGGCCUUCGGGUUGUAAAGCCCUUUUGUUGGGAAAGAAAAGCAGCAGGUUAAUACCCCGCUGUUCUGACGGUACCCAAAGAAUAAGCACCGGCUAACUUCGUG